UAGUCUUAGUUACGUUGAAACAUUGAUUCCGUAUGAUCACUGAAGUUAAGCAACAUUGAGCCUGGUCAGUACCUAAAUCGGUGACUGCUUGGGAAUACCAGGUGCUGUAAG